rnacentral:ncRNA from 1 species
UCAGAAAAAAGCCAACGCCGGGGUGACCCGGUGACGGAAAGCCGACGGGUCCAGCAAAGGGACGGCCGGGCCGCCUGG